AAGAAAAGAGAGAAAAAGGAAGAGAAAGAGGGUGGUCGAGCGAGAAGAAGGGAAGCCGAGAACGGCCGCACAAGGGGAGAGGAAAAGAGAGAGAAUUGCAGAGGAGGAAGAAGAAGAAAGGAAAUCGCGGCUGAGGAGUACCGUGUGAUGGCAGAAUCCAAAAUCGAGGUUGUCCGGGUUUUUCGAGCAUUACACCCGAGCUAGGUUUUGGAGUUAAAGGACCACAAGGUGACCAGGAUGAGGCGACCGGGAGCCAAGCCGAGGUUGAACCGCUUGCACCGAAGGUAAACCAUUUUCUGUGUUUUGGCGGUGGUUUGAGUGGCGGUGGAGCUGGACCAGUGUCGGGCUGGCCGCGCGGGCUCAGCUGGGCCACCCACCCGCGCAGGAACAUAGGAGGUUUCCUCGAGAAUGGGAAAAACCCACCCACCGUGGAAGCCGAAGGGUCUUUCGCGGGAAUGGUGGCCAGAAUUGCCUUUUGAAAUUUCGAUUCGCCGUUCGGGAAGCUAAAAGAUUUUUCGGGUACGGAUCCUGAAAAUUUUUGAUAUUUCAUUGGGUGGUCAUUGGAACCCGUAAUUCAAUUAAAUUAAUUUUUAGUUUUUCGAAAUAUUUUAAUUAAUUUAUAUCGUGAGUACAUAAAAUAUGGGCAUUCAAGUGGAUUCUGGAAGAUAUCGAGGAGAGUAAUUAUUUUUAAAUCUCAAUUGGGUUUUAAUUUCAAAAUUUUUUAUUUAUUUCAUUAAAUUAUAAAUUUUAAAUUUUGAAUGGACACUGACUCAAUUUUCAAUGAAAAACAAAAUCCAAAUUUAUGACCAGUGAACCCAAA